AUUAAUUUAAAACAAUUUAUUUCUUGAGAGUACGACUUUUCUAAUGUGUAUUUACUGAAAUUAUUAUUUUUAUUAGAAAAAUGCAAACGUUCUAGUAUAUAAUAAUUUUGCCUGACAAUUGUUACGACUUCUGCAAAAGUCUAUUUAUGUAUUAAUAGCUUAAGCCGAAAAUAUUUACUUCUAAGGGUGAAAUCAAGGAAAAUAUUCAACACUGGGGAGUGCUGAACACUUUUUGUUCAUUAGAUACGUUUAUUAAUUUCUAAUUUUUCUAAAAUCGACAACUAUUAUCUUCACCAUUUAUUUUCUUUCAAACUCUUCAUUAAAUUCAUGAUUUUAAGAAGUCAAUCGUGAGCACAAUAUAAUCUUCUGUGUUCGCCUAUUCUGAUGUUAAAAUUCUUGCUAGUUUUUCCUAUGUAAAUAUGGCAUGCAUCCUAAUAUAUAAAUGUCAAAUUUGUACGUAUAAUUUUAUUUACGUUUAUUGUUUUUAAUUGUUGUAAUUGUUUUAUUAAAAGCAACAUUAGUUGCAGUUAUUUUUAUUUAGAAAAGAGGGAACAUAUUAGUUGGUUGAUCUCAAAAAGAUUAAGUAGAUGAAGUAUUUUUAAAUAUUUUCCAGUUCCAGUCCAAUCAUUAUCAAAUCACUUUUACCCCUCAAUAGAAAUUAAUUUGUAAAUUUAAUACUAUUUUGUUGUUAUAAAAUUCAUCAUACUUCAAUUGUAAUUUUCCGUUACGUAUUCGUCUAUGACUUUCAUAAAUUUUCUUAUUUACAGUUAUUACCAUUAUUUUUCUACUUCAUAAUGCAAAGAACUGCCUUAACGAAAAUGUAUAUUUUGUUGCUGUUUGUUUAAUUCUAAUUCAUUUGAUUAGGAAAUUUGAAAAAGAAAACACAAUAUUAUUAGUAAAAGAUAUUGCAAAGAUUAAUUAUUUCAACAUAUAUUUCAAAAGCCCUACGUAUUAACCUCGGCGAUGUCGCCACUAGUUUCAAUAUCGAUAUCCAUUGUCUACAUUAAUUGCCGAUUAAUCAUUUAGUAGAUCGUAAACAACAUGUCGGAUAGGCAGGUGAAACUGUUACGGGAAAUUGGUGAGUUUUCCGUGGAAAUGAAACUGUUUUAUAUGAAAAUAAUGCAGUGCCACAGGAUUUAUUCUGUGUUUCCAUAUGAUUCCCUGUGUUCUUUUCCUUUAUCCUCAUCAGAGUAUGGAGUUACGCAAGACAUGAAGUCCGGCAGUGAGCAUCAGGACUACUAGGACAUCUAAAAGGGAGAUAUGGAUUAAUUUCAACCCAUUCAAGACAAAAGGGACACCAGGGAAAUAGAUAUGGAGUUAAGCAAGACAUGAAGUCCAGUAGGAAUC